rnacentral:tRNA from 1 species
GCCUGAGUGGCUCAGUGGUUGAGCGUCUGCCUUUGGCUCAGGUCGUGAUCUGAGGGUCCUGGGAUCAAGUCCCACAUCGGGCU